ACGCUCGACACCUACGGGAGACAGCAGUGGGGAAUAUUGCACAAUGGGGGAAACCCUGAUGCAGCGACGCCGCGUGAGCGAAGAAGUAUUUCGGUAUGUAAAGCUCUAUCAGCAGGGAAGAAACUGACGGUACCUGACUAAGAAGCACCGGCUAAAUACGUGCCGNNGCGCGGUAGUAUGAGCGGCGNGNGAGNG
rnacentral:rRNA from 1 species